rnacentral:rRNA from 1 species
ACUACGGGAGGCAGCAGUGGGGAAUAUUGCGCAAUGGGCGCAAGCCUGACGCAGCAACGCCGCGUGAAGGAAGAAGGCUUUCGGGUUGUAAACUUCUUUUGUCAGGGACGAAACAAAUGACGGUACCUGACUAAGAAGCCGCGGCUAACUUGGUUCCAGCAGCCGCAGUAAUACGUAGGGGGCAAGCAUUAUGCGGAAUUACUGGGAGUAAAGGGCGCGUCGGGGUGAUGGCAAGUCAGAGGUGACAACCAGGGGCUCAACCUGUGGACUGCAUUUGAUACUGUAGUUGUGGAGUGCUGGAGAGGGAGAUGGAAUUCUUAGUGUAGCGGUGAAAUGCGUAGAGAUGAGGAGGAACACUAGUGGCGAAGGCGGUCUGCUGGA